GAUGAACGCUAGCGGCAGGCUUAAUACAUGCAAGUCGUGGGGCAGCAUGAGUGUAGCAAUACAUUUGAUGGCGACCGGCAAACGGGUGCGGAACACGUACACAACCUUCCUAUAAGUGGGGAAUAGCCCAGAGAAAUUUGGAUUAAUACCCCGUAACAUAACGAUGUGGCAUCACAUUGUUAUUAUAGCUUCGGCGCUUAUUGAUGGGUGUGCGGCUGAUUAGAUAGUUGGCGGGGUAACGGCCCACCAAGUCUACGAUCAGUAGCUGAUGUGAGAGCAUGAUCAGCCACACGGGCACUGAGACACGGGCCCGACUCCUACGGGAGGCAGCAGUAAGGAAUAUUGGUCAAUGGACGCAAGUCUGAACCAGCCAUGCCGCGUGAAGGAUUAAGGUCCUCUGGAUUGUAAACUUCUUUUACCUGGGACGAAAAAAGGCUUUUCUAAGUCACUUGACGGUACCAGAUGAAUAAGCACCGGCUAACUCCGUGCCAGCAGCCGCGGUAAGAC
rnacentral:rRNA from 1 species